rnacentral:rRNA from 1 species
GACGAACGCUGGCGGCGUGCUUAACACAUGCAAGUCGAACGGAAAGGCCCUGCUUUUGUGGGGUGCUCGAGUGGCGAACGGGUGAGUAACACGUGAGUAACCUGCCCUUGACUUUGGGAUAACUUCAGGAAACUGGGGCUAAUACCGGAUAGGAGCUCCUGCUGCAUGGUGGGGGUUGGAAAGUUUCGGCGGUUGGGGAUGGACUCGCGGCUUAUCAGCUUGUUGGUGGGGUAGUUGCUUACCAAGGCUUUGACGGGUAGCCGGCAUGAGAGGGUGACAGGAAAAAUUGGGACUGAGAUACGGAACAGACUCCAAGGGGAGGCAGCAGUGGGGAAUAGUGCAGAAUGGGCGGAAGCCUGAUGCAGCAAAGAGGCGUGCGGGAUGAAGGCCUUCGGGUUGUAAAACGAUUUCGCAUGUGACGAAGAGUGAGUGACGGUAAUGGGUAAAGAAGCACCGGCUAACUACGUG